CUCAUGACAAAGAGACAUAUCUUGGGGUGGCCAAUUCCAGUCCCCACAGACUCUAGAGUGUAAAAUGUUGUGGGAAUCAAUUUAAUCUGAUGGGACUGAUGGAAGAGAAGAAGGAAGGAAGAAUCAUUCAUUAAUUAAGCAAGUAUGUGAUGAGUGCUUACAUAGGCUUAUUAAAGCAGAUGUUACUAGGAAAUAAAAGGAAAGCUAAAACAAGGCCUCCACCCUCUAACAAUCCAAAAUCCACAUCGGGAGACAAGACUCAGUGAGAAUAACUAAGUGGACAGUCAGAGCUGUUUUGGUUAAAGGUCUGUGCCAUGUAUGGGAAUUCCGGGCCAAGAGAGGCUAUAUUAGCUGGAAGGCUUUGUGGAGGAGGAGGGAUUUUGGCCAUGAACUUUACACUUACUAAUUGCCUCUUUCCAUUGAGCAUGCCCAAGAAUUUGGAAUAUUGUAAUUUUUCAAGAUCCAUAUUAGCCCAGCAAAGGAUGGAACAGAAGGGACAUGGUCCUCCCGCAGGUCAGCAGGAUUGGUGGAAGGGGAUUACUGUAAUUGACACGAUUAUCUCACAUUUACUGAGUUCUGUUGAUGCUUAAAACUCAGGUGAAAAACAGUUUUUUCUUCUGAGGGGAAUUCAGAAGAAAGCAAAAACUUGUCUUUGUGACACUAGAAACAUAAUGAUAAACAGCUUUUCCAUCUCCUCUUCAUCUGGUUACACCUGGAGCUCAGCCAAAGGCAUCUUAAGACACCCAGCAGUGUCUUCGUCCAGAGUUGGGAAUUAAGAUCAGACGUUUCUCUUCAUUCUUCACAAGAGCCUGUCCCCAUGUGAAGCUGUGGCAGGAACAAGCCUGCCAAAAGGCCUGCUCUUCAGAUGUUAAAAAGAAAUAUACAGGAAAGGAAUAUUUCAACCAUACGCGAUUUCAAAAUGUGGUGGACACAGGGAAGGGGAAUUCUAAGGGUGUAAAGCACGAAAGGAAUUUGAAAAAACAGAAUGAUGACCUGUCCAAUAGAGAAUACCUGUGAAUUCUCUCUUACUCCCAGAACAAUGAUUGCAGGCGGUGGUCUCAGUGGUAUCUUGGUUCUUAUCUGUACAUGUCUUUUAUCUUCCUCUUUUAUCUUUUCUCAGUUCUAACAAAGAAACCACUUAGAGGUGUGAGUUAUUCAGAUGGGUGUGAUGUGCAUCCAGCAUAGCACACUUUGUAAGCACUUUCCCUGAAGCAACAGGGAGCUCAUGUGCGUCCCUCCUCACCUUCACCAGUAACUCAUAUUUCUUUCCUGUAAAAUUAUUGGCAGGCCCCAGAGGCAUACGGGUGCCCAGAACUCACGAGGUUUAGCAUCAACUGAGCCACUGUGAGAGUUUGUUUAGAGGAGCGUGACUGUUUCUAGUCAGAAUCUGCCCUCUCCAGAGCUUUGCACUUUAAAUAUUGUGAUAAGGGAUUUCUCAGAUGCACAGUAAGAUAUUUCCAUUUGAGAGAAAAUGGUAACUGAAUCAGUGAAAAGGAAGGAUGUGGCAUUUGGUCAGUUGUUUCCUUGUGUCUCAGAGUCAAUAGUGACCAGAUUCUCAGCUUUCUCUUUCUGGCAGAAGACUGCUGACUGCAAAAUAUAGCUUCAUAAAGCAUUUAUACAAACACAUAUGGGGUUUUUUUCCUUUUAGUUCCCUCCUACGAGGUAUUUAUUUCUGCUUACUCAUCCUCUUUUGGAUAUUGGCGCAUCUGUUUUAAAGAACUAUAAAUAAAAAUCAAACCCUCCCCAUGAAUUAGCCAUAAAAGUCACAACAUUUUUUUCGAUGGGAAAGAUGUUUUCCCCACAGAUUUUCAUCUGGUUUACAAACGACAAAGGACUUGCUCAGCAUAGUUAUCUUUGGGUGGGCUGGUCACAUGCGGGCAUCCCAGAGACAGAGAGAGGAUGCUAUUUCUGCUCUGAAAUAUUUUAUAUUUUGACUCUGCAUCAGCUUUGCUUAAAUUAGCAAGAAAGUGAAUGUUUUUGUGUCUUUAGCAUCUAUAGUUUCCCUCCUGCUCUAAACACUUCUAGAUUUUACAACAAAAUUCAUCUGCAAAGAUAAUUUGUUGUGGAACAGGGAGAGGUUCCAAAGUCAUUUGGCGCUGAGAGCAUGGAUAAAUGGCCAUCACCUGGUGUUUAUGUAAAUUGCAUUACUCUCCUUUAUGAGGAGUAAAUGGAUUAGGACAUUUAGAGAUAUUUAGAGAUGAUCUUAUCAUCACAUUAUACCAUUCUGUAGUUCUAGAUCCAUUGGUAAUUUAGCAAUGUUUCUUCUCCCUUGAAGACACUCCCUGCCAAGAAAAAAUAAGUUCCCUGACAACUUUCCCAUUUUUCCAGGAAUAUGUGUGUUUGGGGGGGGGAGCGCGGAAUUCUAUAAACUGCAGAACAGUUUAUAGGCCUUAAUGUAUCCAAAGAUGUUAUGGAAGCUGUUAGUUAAUACUGGCAUUAUAUCUUUCAGUGGUCUGCAGUAGAGAUCAUUAACUAAAUGCCAUGCUGCUGACUCAGGGGAUCCUCAAAUUUGUGAUGUCAGCAGUUGCACUUGACGUUGACACUGCCAUCCCCCAGGCAGUCACACAGACAUGGUGUGUUUGCAUCCAUGGCAGUUAGAAUUCACGUAUCAGUUUCCAGAUAACUGAAGACAAAAAACUGCUUCUCUCCCUCAGGCUGCUGCUGAGCCAGCUUGGAGCAUCCCAAGGGCUGAGGUGGCCAUUUGGCACAUACACCACAGGGACUCUGCAGAGCAGCACGGCCUAGAAUUCCCAAAGUGAGAGUCGAAGAGGGAAAGGGGAAAUAAAUAGAUCUCACCUGAGGUACAUUCUAACCAGUCACAGAUCUCUUUGGAAGGAACCAGCUCAAAAUGUCCCUGGGAGUUGCUGAAGUUAAGAGUCCGGUGAUUACCCCAUGAGGGUGUGGCAAACAUAAAGGAAAGGUAAAAUUUGGGUGAAAUGCUCUCAACACGACCAAGGUCAUUGCACAAAUAGGUAAUUAUCUGGAGGGAAGUUUUACAAGUGUGGUCUAUGCGUAAAUGGGCGAUUUAAAGUUUAGCCUUAAAAAAAAUUGUUCCCAGUGGUGACCAUCUCAUGAGCCAGAAUGAGAGUUGCUAAGCAACCAGAGAAACAAAGAUAAGUUCCAAGAAGUUCAUUAAAACCCACAGCGGCAGGGCUUUGCUCUACUGUUCUCCACCCUAGUGAAAGAGACAUAUCCAUUAAACCGUGUUCUGAUUGGUCAUUCAUAAGAGAAUAACUUAAGUCCAAGGGUCACCUGUGAAACUUUGCCACAAGUAUUUUGACAAGAUUGCAAGCUGGUACAAUUCUUUUGGAAAGAAAUAUGGAAAUUUCUAUCAAAAGCCUCUGAUGUAAUAAAUUUGUAUUUGAGACUCAUUCCCAAUGAAAUAAAUUUUUUAAACCACUUUAUUGAGGUACAAUUGACAUACAAAAGCUGUACAUAUUUAACAUAUACAACUUGAUGAGUUUGGAGAUAGUUGACACCCAUGAAAUCAUCACCACAACCCAUGCCAUGAAUACAUUCAUUAUCUCCAAAAGUUUCCACUCAUCCUUUUUAUCUAUUAUUUUGUCUGUGUGUGUGUGUGUGAUAAGAUCACUUACAGUAAGAUCUAUCUACUUAGCAAAUUUCUAAGUAUGCAGCACAGUAUUGCUUACUAUAGGCACUACUGUACAGCAGAUCUCUAGGACUUACUCAUCUUGUAUAACCAAAACUUUGUUCCCCGGUACUGAUACCCUCCUCCCAGCCCUUGGCAACCACCAUUCUACUCUCUGCUUCUACGAGUUUGACUA